GAAUAUUGGACAAUGGGCGAAAGCCUGAUCCAGCCCUGCCGCGUGUGUGAAGAAGGCCUUUUGGUUUUAAAGCACUUUAAGCGAGGAGGAGGCUCCUACGAUUAAUACUCUAGGCUAGUGGACGUUACUCGCUGCAUAAGCACCGGCUCACUCUGUUCCCGCAGCCGCGGUAAUACAGAGGGUGCGAGCGUUAAUCGGAUUUACUGGGCGUAAAGCGUGCGUAGGCGGCUUGUUAAGUCGGAUGUGAAAUCCCUGAGCUUAAUUUAGGAAUUGCAUUCGAUACUGGGAAGCUAGAGUAUGGGAGAGGAUGGUAGAAUUCCAGGUGUAGCGGUGAAAUGCGUAGAGAUCUGGAGGAAUACCGAUGGCGAAGGCAGCCAUCUGGCCUAAUACUGACGCUGAGGUACGAAAGCAUGGGGAGCAAAC
rnacentral:rRNA from 1 species